UUUUCAGCUACCAGGCACUCUUCAAGAGAUGCAAAGUAAAUUAAUCUGUACCUUAAUUGAAAAAGUGAGCCCCAGUCUAAAGGAAUGUAAAAAAAAUUGCAUCUGAGCUUUCAAGUAACAAGUUGCACACAGGGGACUUGCUGUGAAGAGCUGUUGAAAUGUAAGGUGCUAAGACUUAUAACAAGGGUGAGGAGAAGUUGACCUCAGUAUUAGAAGUUUUCUUUCCACAGUUGUGUCAGGACAUGGAAGAAGCCAAUUGCUGUCUCUGACCCCAGUCACACACAAAAAUAACAGAUGUCUCAGUAUGCUGAGAUCAGACACUAAGGGGAGCUGAGGAGAACAGAUGUUGCAUCAACAGAGUUUUUCUUCUUCUGAAUUGUUUUGAAAUAAAGUGUUGUUUUCUGGCCUUUUUUCUUCCUAAUUGAAUUUCCUAUAUUGAAAUAGAUCUCCUGAUAUCAAGUCUAAUUAUUUGCAUUUAUUUAGGGAUGAAUCCACAAAAGCACAGAUUGAGCUUUAAUUGUAUACAUAUCUUUCCAUGAGAAAUUUCUCUGAAGAAACAUCAUGUACUUUAUCCAGAAAAUGAUCUUAUCUCUGUAGAAUAAAGUGAGGCCAAAUUAUCUACUUAAGAUGAUUAGUAGAUUAUCUACUUUAUAUUAUCUACAUAUAAAUGACAUACUUUUAAAAAUGUACAAUCAGUAUGGAAUCAAAAUAUGGUAAUAAUUUUGACAGAUUAAGUGGACUCAAGGAUCACAAAGGUGUUAACCUGAUCAAGUCACUGUAAAGCAGUCACAAGUAUAUCAGAUAUUUGAGUGUAGAGACCCUGGAUCCCCAUGGCUAAUUCCCAUGAUAAAUAAACUGGAAUAUUCUUGCUAAACACAGACACUGGCACACACACUCACAUUCACACACACACACACACACACAUACAAAGUUUAGAUUAGACUGUAAUGGAGGAAAAAA